CUCUCCUAUAUCCAAUCAAAUCCAUUUGCGCCUUUUUCUUUGCGAGUUUGAGGGUUUGGGCAAACCCUGCCCACGUGAAAGCUACAACAUAUACUGUUGCGUGCUGGAGAAAUUCACGGCAAAGGCCACCAUGGACGAGGCUGGGGGAAGCCUCGCUUGGAUCGCCGCUUGCUCUUCUCGAGCCUCGCUCGAAUCCUCGGGUUCUGAGUAUAUGCCAAUCUGUAAUGCUAUAGUGCUAGUAGGUAGGUAGGAAGGGGAAAGUUGUGGAUAUAUCAAAUAUGCAUUCCCCAAUUUGGGUUGGUUUUCGGAGGGGUUCACUUAUUUGAUUACUGGCCUCACAGUUCUCCUGAUGCUGUUGAAUUUCGUGUUCCUCCUGGUAUUUAUUGAUGAGCUGAGUAUUUGGUUCUCUGGUGACAUUGCAUGUCUUGCUUGAAUGGCCACUACGAGAAGGCUUUUGUUGAUCUAAUCUCUUAAGCUGGCAAUCUGGCAUGGUUGGAAGUACAAUUCCUGGAGCAAAAAGAAACGGGUUCACUGCUCGUGCGUGUAGUCACAAUACUACCAUUGAGAGCUAAGCUUUAUCCAUGUGGCGACCUCACUAUUCCUUGUUUCACAAUUGUAAUAACAUACACCUGUGGGACUUUUUCUUGGAUGUGAUUUGUGCGUUCAUCCAUCACAAGGGUAAAGAGGUAAGGGCUCAGUGCAAAUCUUUGAUAUAAUCCAAUUGUAACUGAGAAAGCCCCAAUAUCUCCUCCACGAGUUAUGACUCGCGUUUUUGUUUCAUGAUACUCGUCCUUUGUGCUUUGUAUAUAAGCAAUCUGGACUACUUUAUUCCUCAACACCUUUCAUAAGACUUCUUUGUGGGACUCUUUCUUAGGCUUUUUUCAUGUUUAUAAAUACCAUUUUGUUUAUCUUUAGACCUUUCUUUAUGUAGAUAGCUUCUAUUAUUGACCUACUAAUUGUAAACCAAAUUGAUUUGUGGGACUUUAGUUUCUUUCCUUAACCUUUUCUCAAUUAUCUUCACACAAAGUUUCAUAAUGUGGCUUAUUACCUUGAUCCCCUUACAAUUUUUCACAACCUUAAAAC